AUAAAGGAAAAGGGUAGGGUUAGAGGUAGGUGUACAUGGGAUCAGGAUUCUGAACUGCCUUCUGUCUUGUGGCUGAGAAUGCUGGAAGUGUGUGUGUCGUUAAAGAUUGUGAUAUAGAUUUCCUGUCCAGAGCACAGGAGUUUGUUCCUACCUCCCUGCUUGGAGCUCUGGGAAGAGAGGACCUCAAAAUCCCACACUACCAAUUGGUAUAGACCCAGUGAAGUAUAAACAGUGGUAUGGCAGGGCCGUGGAGAGAGAAGGUGCUGAAAUUCUGUGGGGGUCAAGGGCAGGGUGCCCCCAAAUGGGCCACUUUGUCAUAAAGAUUAUUUUGAGUUGAAAGAAAUGAAGACCCAGCAGAUUCAGGAAGUCCUUUACUUCCCCCCAACAACUCCCUACAAAGAAUUUGGAUGAAAGACUGGCUCCAGGAAGAGAGCUCACCGCUGAUACCUACACUGUGAUCUGAAGUAGGUCAGAAACACCCAAUUCAGCCAUAAUAGUAUAAUUUGAAUCUUCUGAACUUUAUAUUAAUGGAAUUCACAAGAAGUUAAGAAAGGACGCUCAGUAAGCCAAUAGCCAAGUUGUUAAAUGUAUCAAAAAAUAUGAAUUUAAGAAUUUUCUGGAUCAGAAAACAGAACAUGCUACAAUGAAACUUUGGAGUAUAAACCCAUCUUGAGAUUUUUAUUGACUAAGUUAUAAGAUGGCCAAGUUGAUGCUAUCAUGCCACCAAAAACUCAACUGGAGGACCAUGAAGGCAAAUUAUCAUUCAUUGAAAGCAUCUUCUUGCUGGCAGAGAGAGCGAGAGAGAGGCAGAGGGAGAAGCAGGCCCCAUGCAGGAAGCCCGAUGCGGG